GGAGUUAGCCGGUGCUUCUUCUGUGAGUGAUGUCCUUCCUGCCGGCUAUUAACCCGCAGGCCUUCUUCCUCACUGAAAGUGCUUUACAACCCGAAGGCCUUCUUCACACACGCGGCAUGGCUGGAUCAGGGUUGCCCCCAUUGUCCAAUAUUCCCCACUGCUGCCUCCCGUAGGAGUCUGGGCCGUGUCUCAGUCCCAGUGUGGCUGAUCAUCCUCUCAGACCAGCUACGGAUCGUCGCCUUGGUGAGCCGUUACCUCACCAACCAGCUAAUCCGACAUAGGCUCAUCCGAUAGCGCGAGGCCCGAAGGUCCCCCGCUUUCCCCCGUAGGUCGUAUGCGGUAUUAGCCUGGGUUUCCCCAGGUUAUCCCCCACUACCGGGCAGAUUCCUAUGCAUUACUCACCCGUCCGCCGCUCGCCACCAGGGAGCAAGCUCCCCGUGCUGCCGCUCGACUUGCAUGUGUUAGGCCUGCCGCCAGCGUUCAAUCUGAGCCAGAAUCAAACUCUGA
rnacentral:rRNA from 1 species